rnacentral:rRNA from 1 species
UACAACUGUGCGGCGAGUGGCGAACGGGUGAGUAAUAUAUCAGAACGUACCCAGAAGUGGGGGAUAACGUAGCGAAAGUUACGCUAAUACCGCAUACGAUCUACGGAUGAAAGUGGGGGACCUUCGGGCCUCAUGCUUUUGGAGCGGCCGAUAUCUGAUUAGCUAGUUGGUGAGGUAAAGGCCCACCAAGGCGACGAUCAGUAGCUGGUCUGAGAGGACGACCAGCCACACUGGAACUGAGACACGGUCCAGACUCCUACGGGAGGCAGCAGUGGGGAAUUUUGGACAAUGGGCGCAAGCCUGAUCCAGCAAUGCCGCGUGAGUGAAGAAGGCCUUCGGGUUGUAAAGCUCUUUUGUCAGGGAAGAAACGGUUCAGGCUAAUAUCCUGGGCUAAUGACGGUACCUGAAGAAUAAGCACCGGCUAACUACGUGCCAGCAGCCGCGGUAAUACGUAGGGUGCAAGCGUUAAUCGGAAUUACUGGGCGUAAAGCGUGCGCAGGCGGUUUUGUAAGUCUGACGUGAAAGCCCCGGGCUCAACCUGGGAAUUGCGUUGGAGACUGCAAGGCUUGAAUCUGGCAGAGGGGGGUAGAAUUCCACGUGUAGCAGUGAAAUGCGUAGAGAUGUGGAGGAACACCGAUGGCGAAGGCAGCCCCCUGGGUCAAGAUUGACGCUCAUGCACGAAGCGUGGGGAGCAAACAGGAUUAGAUACCCUGGUAGUCCACGCCCUAAACGAUGUCUACUAGUUGUCGGGUUUUAAUUAACUUGGUAACGCAGCUAACGCGUGAAGUAGACCGCCUGGGGAGUACGGUCGCAAGAUUAAAACUCAAAGGAAUUGACGGGGACCCGCACAAGCGGUGGAUGAUGUGGAUUAAUUCGAUGCAACGCGAAAAACCUUACCUACCCUUGACAUGGAAAGGAAUCCUGAAGAGAUUCUGGGAGUGCCCGAAAGGGAACCUUUCACACAAGG